GGAGGAACCGAAAACCAGGGUCAUCCCACACGUCACUAGCAGGUCUCCUGGCUGGUGGCCACAAGCCAGACACCGCCAGCCAGUUCAGCAGCCCCAGGCCGCCUGGCGCCCGGCGGGUCCGGGUCGAGGUCCUGCCCGACCCACUGUUCGGAUCUGUGGCACCGACUCUCAGGUGCGCUGCGCUGGGUCUUGGCGAGAUCUCGAGGCCAGGGCCGGCCCGGAGGGAAGCUCACCCGUCCCGCAGCGCCUCGGAUUAGGAGACUCUCGCUGAAACCCCAGAGCCGCCGCCGCGCCGCGGGUAACAACACGACUCGAGCCGCCGCAGCCGCCAUUUCUGCUAGAAGGAAGGUAGAGGAUGAAGGAUGUGCUUCCGGGGUCGCGACCUGAGGCCCCAGAGCAGGGAGGCGGACUCCACCUUGUGGCCGUGAUGGGAAUGACACUCCUCGAAGCGGUCGUGAAAGCAAUCAGGGCCUGACCAUGAUGCUGAGCGGUCCUUACCAAAUGAAUUGGGGAGUCUGUAGAAGCCCCCUGUAUCAUCAGUUAUUUUAACGAUCGCCUACUAAGUGCAAAGCACAAAUGCGGUGGAAUGAAAGAUAACCUGAUGCAAUAUAUCUCACUGGUGGAUGGAAUUGAUUGAAAACAGUGGAAUAAUAUUCACAAGUCACUGCCUUUAAAGGAAAAGUCUAGUGGGAGAGACAGAUGCGGUGAGGGGAGGAAAAGAUGUAUCCGUGUUGACCACUAUCCACUCUUCGAACCUAUACAAUAUGGCUCAUCUCAUUCCAUAGAAAUUGCCCUUGACUCAUCUCCCUCCACCUACCCGGCUGCUAUGCUUCGCAGGUUCAGCCCACAAGACUCAUGAUGUAAUGUAAUAAAGGACGACCAAGGUUAUUCUCUCAUGUUUCUAAAACAAACGUGUGUUAACCAAAAAUAAAUACAAACAUGCAUACAUAUAUACAAAAACAUUUAGGUAUAAUCACAGGAAGCACCUAGGAAGUUUUAGCAAGAAUUUGUAUUCAAUUCUAAUAUACUCCAUGGUAUUAAUUUAUUAGUCAUUAUUUACAGUCAAUAUCUUAGAACGUAAAGCCUAUAGAAAUUAAGUGCACCAGAGUAGAGCCAAGAAAUCAAAGUACUUUGACUACUCCCAAAAUAGCCCUACACCCACAACAGUAUCCAUUACUUUUUUUUUUUUUUUUUUGAGACGGAGUUUCGCUCUUGUUGCCCAGGCUGGAGUGCAAUGGUGCAAUCUCAGCUCACUGCAACCUCCGCCUCCAGGGUUCUAGCAAUUCCCUUGCCUCAGCCUCCCAAGUAGCUGGGAUUACAGAUGCCCACCACCACACCCAGCUACUUUUUGUAUUUUUAGUAGAAACGGGGUUUCACCAGGUUGGCCAGGCUGGUCUCAAACUCCUGACCUCAAAUGAUCCUCCUGCCUCAGCCUCCCAAAGUGCUGGGAUUACAGGUGUGAGCCACUGCACCUGGCCUAUUUUAAAUGAUUUCUUAACUGACUGGAUUUUACUGGCAGAGUCAUUGCUAUUUUUGUUGUUUGGAAAUUUUCAUCAUGGAAGUCAUAUUCCUUUAAUUCUUUCAUGUUUGAGGAUGUCUGCUUUUAUGAAUGACAUUUUUGUCUGGAUUUAAUAUUGUUGGGUCACAGUUUCAUUUUCUCAGAAUUUUAUAAACAUUACUCCAUUAUGUUCUUGAGUUAAAUGUUUUGGAAAAGUCUGAGGCUAGCCAGAUUUUUUCUUUUUUUACCACCCUUAAGUGUGACCUGUCUUAUCUGCCUAAAAACCUAAAAAAUUAUUCUUGAAGUUCAAUAACUUAACUAGGCUAUAUCUUAAUGUUGAGUAAUUUUUGUGUCGUGAUUUUUAUCAAAAUUUUCAAAAACAUAAUACGUUUUCAUUCUGCAGUUUCACUUCUUCCUUCACUUUAGAGAAAGUCUCUUUGAAUACAUAUUCUGGCAUUCCAUUCAGUAUGUUAUCUUUUCAAGGACUGCAGCUCUCCUUAUGCUGAAUGACUUUAUCUGUCCUUCAUAUUUAUUAGCAUCUCUCUAACUUUUUAAGGCUUUGUCAUUUUCCUCUACUUUUUUUGUGAUUAUCUCAAGACAGAAGUAGGUCUACACAAACAUGCCCUACUAAUUUUUGGCAAAGGUGCAGAAGCAAUUCAAUAGAUGGAGAAUAGCCUUUCAACAAAUGCUGCUGGAACAAUUAGAUG